GAUGAACGCUGGCGGCGUGCUUAACACAUGCAAGUCGAACGGAAAGGCUCCUGCUUGCCGGGGUACUCGAGCGGCGAACGGGUGAGUAACACGUGGGUGAUCUGCCCUGCACUUCGGGAUAAGCCUGGGAAACUGGGUCUAAUACCGGAUAGGACCACAUUUUGGAUGGUGUGGUGGAAAGUUUUUCGGUGUGGGAUGAGCUCGCGGCCUAUCAGCUUGUUGGUGGGGUAAUGGCCUACCAAGGCGUCGACGGGUAGCCGGCCUGAGAGGGUGUACGGCCACAUUGGGACUGAGAUACGGCCCAGACUCCUACGGGAGGCAGCAGUGGGGAAUAUUGCACAAUGGGCGCAAGCCUGAUGCAGCGACGCCGCGUGGGGGAUGACGGCCUUCGGGUUGUAAACUCCUUUCGCUAGGGACGAAGCGCAAGUGACGGUACCUGGAGAAGAAGCACCGGCUAACUACGUG
rnacentral:rRNA from 1 species